rnacentral:rRNA from 1 species
AACGCUAGCGACAGGCCUAACACAUGCAAGCAGGGGCAGCACAGGAGCAAUCUGAGGUGGCGACCGGCGCACGGGUGAGUAACACGUAUGCAACCUGCCUGUAAGCGGGGAAUAACCCGUUGAAAGACGGACUAAUACCGCAUAAUACUAAAUUACUGCAUGGUAAUUUAUUUAAACAUUUAUGGCUUACAGAUGGGCAUGCGCAUGAUUAGCUAGUUGGAGAGGUAACGGCUCCCCAAGGCAACGAUCAUUAGGGGUUCUGAGAGGAAGGUCCCCCCACACUGGUACUGAGACACGGACCAGACUCCUACGGGAGGCAGCAGUGAGGAAUAUUGGUCAAUGGACGAGAGUCUGAACCAGCCAAGUCGCGUGCAGGAAGAAUGUCCUAUGGAUUGUAAACUGCUUUUGCAGGGGAAUAAAGUGCAUCACGUGUGAUGUUUUGUAUGUACUCUGCGAAUAAGGAUCGGCUAACUCCGUGCCAGCCGCCGC